CCCUGGGGGACUGUGUUGCCCCCGUUGAGAAACACUACGCUAAUCCAAGAGUCGCCUCUGCUUGCAAGGUGUUUCGAGCUGGACGUUCCCAUCGAGAAGCAAUCAUGGUGCAGUCAAGAGAGCAUGACUUCUGCCUGAGACCGGAAAUCAUCCUGCUUCACUUCAAAACAGAACUUGGGAACGGCCGUGGCCUACCAGCAAGCUCUCUGGAUCAGAAUGGGACUAGCUGGCUUAGGCCGGUGACUUUGCACCAGGAAUCGCAGUGAAUUCCAUGGGAUGGACACACCGCUAUAUGGACGCCUCGCACGUCUGAUGUCAUGCCUCUGCAAUCCUCCGCCGGAACGCUACAGCUGUUGUUCCCACGCAGGCUAACCCCCCAUGUUAAUAAAACCCUAAUUGAAAGA